GAAGUUUUCUUCGGAAAACGGAUUAGCGGCGGACGGGUGAGUAACACGUGGGCAACCUGCCUUAUAGAGGGGAAUAGCCUUCCGAAAGGAAGAUUAAUACCGCAUAAUAUUAUCGAAUGGCAUCAUUUGAUAAUCAAAGGAGCAAUCCGCUAUAAGAUGGGCCCGCGUCGCAUUAGUUAGUUGGUGGGGUAAUGGCCUACCAAGACGACGAUGCGUAGCCGACCUGAGAGGGUGAUCGGCCACAUUGGGACUGAGACACGGCCCAGACUCCUACGGGAGGCAGCAGUGGGGAAUAUUGCACAAUGGGGGAAACCCUGAUGCAGCAACGCCGCGUGAGCGAUGAAGGUCUUCGGAUCGUAAAGCUCUGUCUUUAGGGAUGAUAAUGACAGUACCUAAGGAGGAAGCCACGGCUAACUACGUGCCAGCAGCCGCGGUAAUACGUAGGUGGCAAGCGUUAUCCGGAAUUAUUGGGCGUAAAGGGAGCGUAGGCGGAUAUUUAAGUGGGAUGUGAAAUACAUGAGCUCAACUCGUGUGCUGCAUUCCAAACUGGAUAUCUAGAGUGCAGGAGAGGAGAGUGGAAUUCCUAGUGUAGCGGUGAAAUGCGUAGAGAUUAGGAAGAACACCAGUGGCGAAGGCGACUCUCUGGACUGUAACUGACGCUGAGCUCGAAAGCGUGGGGAGCGAACAGGAUUAGAUACCCUGGUAGUCCACGCCGUAAACGAUGA
rnacentral:rRNA from 1 species